GGAGUAGUUGAGCAUCGGUAAGCUCACCCGCCCUUUACUUAAGCUUCGGCUUUACAUUAUCCGCGGGGGAGAAGAAGUUUUCUCCAUGCCGGUUCGAAUCCGGCCUACUUCA
rnacentral:tRNA from 4 species